GAGUGAGUGAAAUUAGAACAAUGCACAAUACAAACACACAAGAAGUAUAGUGGUUCGGUGCUCUCCUAAGCACCUACGUCCACUCCCCAAGCGACCCCUUGGGAAUUUACUAUAAUCCCUCGGAUUACAGUUGGAUUGUUUUCCGGGCUCACAAUCCAAAAACCUUUACACUUUGGUUUUCCGGGAUCACCAAUAACCUUUGUUGGUUUUACGGGUUCACCAACGAACCUUCACAAUUGGUUUUACAGGUUCACCAAUAAAUCUAUACCGUUGGUUUUGCGGGCUUACCAACAAACCUUUACAAGGUGAUUAAUAAAAGAAAGAAGAAAGUUGAAGCUCCUAGAUGAGCAAAUAUAACAAUUAUAAGCUACAAAGAAGAGUUUAGAGAAUAGUUAUCGCUUGAUGAGACUUCUCUCUUCUUUGUCAAGAAUGCUUCACUCUUCAAGGGUGGAUAUAGCUUUUGAUAUCUCUUGGAGUCUGCUCAACCACUUUCUUUUUAACUCUUGAAUAGAACACUUGGAUGAAGAAAAUUAGGGCACUUGUCUUUCUUGUGUAAGCUUUGAUAUUUUGCAAAAGGAUACUUCCUCUGAUGAAUAGUGUCACUUUAAAUAGUUUCUUUCAUCCAUUGGACAAGCCCCAAUAGUUAGAAUUCAAAAACUAGC
rnacentral:lncRNA from 1 species